UAGGGAAUCUUCCGCAAUGGGCGAAAGCUUGACGGAGCAACGCCGCGUGAGUGAUGAAGGUCUUCGGAUCGUAAAACUCUGUUAUUAGGGAAGAACAAAUGUGUAAGUAACUAUGCACGUCUUGACGGUACCUAAUCAGAAAGCCACGGCUAACUACGUGCCAGCAGCCGCGGUAAUACGUAGGUGGCAAGCGUUAUCCGGAAUUAUUGGGCGUAAAGCGCGCGUAGGCGGUUUUUUAAGUCUGAUGUGAAAGCCCACGGCUCAACCGUGGAGGGUCAGUGGAAACUGGAAAGCUUGAGUGCAGAAGAGGAAAGUGGAAUUCCAUGUGUAGCGGUGAAAUGCGCAGAGAUAUGGAGGAACACCAGUGGCGAAGGCGACUUUCUGGUCUGUAACUGACGCUGAUGUGCGAAAGCGUGGGGAUCAAACAGG
rnacentral:rRNA from 1 species